UCGCUCUCCAUCCAGAAAACCCUGCAAGCAUGAGAUAGUGCAGCACAAUGUCUAUAAGACAACUACUACAUAAUGAAAGUUUGAAUGCCAUAAUACUACACAGGCUAUCUGAGGAGUGAUGAAUUCAGAACAAACAAACACAUUCCAGGCAGCAUUUGUAGUAACUAUAGCUAGAGCAAAAAAACCAACAAAUAAUUCAUACAUAUUCUAUCAUCUGGUAUGUGAAAAUGAAUUGCUUUAGAAAGCCUUGCAAGAUCAGAUAAUACUUAUGCCAUAAAUAUUGCUCCAAGAAAACUAGCCUUCAUUUCAGUUCCCAAAACAAGUUGCAAACUUCAUUUCAUUAA
rnacentral:misc_RNA from 1 species